rnacentral:rRNA from 1 species
AUGGGGGCGGUUCUGAGAGACGACAAAGGUAGGUUUAUCGUUGGAGGAAAUGAAAAGAUUAAGUAUUGUGCGGAUGUUGUGACGGCGGAAGCCUUAGCUCCCAAAUUUGGCCUAACACUGACGCAAAGGGCGGGCUGUAAUCACCUUAUUAUUAAUUCAGACAACCUGAAAAUGAUUGACACCAUGCAGGAAGGAGGACAGAGUCGGCGGGCAAUUUUGGAUGAUUGUUUUUACUAUGCAUGUGAUUUUAUUACGAUUAGAUUCGAACAUUGUAAUAGAAAGGCAAAUAAAGUAGCUCAUGAACUCGCUCGAAUAGCUAGAUUUUCUUCUACCUUGAAUUGGUUCGAGGAGCCUUCAAAUGGAAUUGUAAUGAUCCUCACGAACAAUUUACUGAUUAUUUCUAAUAAUCUCGUCUUAUUUAAAAGAAAAGGAAAAAUGCAGUAA